GGGGUUGUAGCUCAGUGGUAGAGCGCAUGCCUCGCAUGUAUGAGGACUGAUUCGGUCCCCAGCACCA
rnacentral:tRNA from 1 species